rnacentral:piRNA from 1 species
UAUGAGGUGAGACAAAUGGCUGCCGCAC